UGUCCAUUGGGAGGGUUAUGCCAUUAGUC
rnacentral:sRNA from 1 species